rnacentral:rRNA from 1 species
GACGAACGCUGGCGGCGUGCUUAACACAUGCAAGUCGAACGGUAAGGCCCUUCGGGGUACACGAGUGGCGAACGGGUGAGUAACACGUGGGUGAUCUGCCCUGCACUUCGGGAUAAGCCUGGGAAACUGGGUCUAAUACCGGAUAGGACCACUGCCUGCAUGGGUGGUGGUGGAAAGCUUUUGCGGUGUGGGAUGGGCCCGCGGCCUAUCAGCUUGUUGGUGGGGUGAUGGCCUACCAAGGCGACGACGGGUAGCCGGCCUGAGAGGGUGACCGGCCACACUGGGGCUGAGAUAGGGCCCAGAAUCCUACGGGAGGCAGCAGUGGGGAAUAUUGCACAAUGGGCGCAAGCCUGAUGCAGCGACGCCGCGUGAGGGAUGACGGCCUUCGGGUUGUAAACCUCUUUCAGCACCGACGAAGCGCAAGUGACGGUAGGUGCAGAAGAAGGACCGGCCAACUACGUGCCAGCAGCCGCCGUAA